rnacentral:rRNA from 1 species
UACGUAGGGUGCGAGCGUUAAUCGGAAUUACUGGGCGUAAAGCGUGCGCAGGCGGUUGUGUAAGACAGGCGUGAAAUCCCCGGGCUCAACCUGGGAACUGCGCUUGUGACUGCACAGCUAGAGUACGGCAGAGGGGGGUGGAAUUCCACGUGUAGCAGUGAAAUGCGUAGAGAUGUGGAGGAACACCGAUGGCGAAGGCAGCCCCCUGGGCCGAUACUGACGCUCAUGCACGAAAGCGUGGGUAGCAAACAGG